CCUACGGUGGUCAGCAGUGGGGAAUAUUGCACAAUGGGGGGAACCCUGAUGCAGCAACGCCGCGUGGGUGAAGAAGUACUCCGGUAUGUAAAGCCCUGUCAGCAGGGACGAAAAUGACGGUACCUGACCAAGAAGCCCCGGCGACCUACGUGCCAGCAGCCGCGGUAAUACGUAGGGGGCAAGCGUUCUCCGGAUUUCCUGGGUGUAAAGGGAUCGUAGACGGCAAGGCAAGUCUGGAGGGAAAGCCCGUGGCCCAACCACGGGACUGCUUUGGAAACUGGGGUGCUGGAGUGCCGGAGGGGUAAGCGGAAUGCCUGGUGUAGCGGUGAAAUGCGUAGAUAUUAGGAGGAACACCGGUGGCGAAGGCGGCUUACUGGACUGUAACUGACGUUGAGGCGCGAAGGCGUGGGGAGCAAACAGGAUUAGAUACCCCGGUAGUC
rnacentral:rRNA from 1 species